GACGAACGCUGGCGGCGUGCUUAACACAUGCAAGUCGAACGGAAAGGCCCUGCUUUUGCGGGGUGCUCGAGUGGCGAACGGGUGAGUAACACGUGAGUAACCUGUCCUUGACUUUGGGAUAACUUCAGGAAACUGGGGCGAAUACCGGAUAGGAGCUCCUGCUGCAUGGUGGGGGUUGGAAAGUUUCGGCGGUUGGGGAUGGACGCGCGGCUUAUCAGCUUGUUGGUGGGGUAGUGGCUUACCAAGGCUUUGACGGGUAGCCGGCCUGAGAGGGUGACCGGCCACAUUGGGACAGAGAAACGGCCCAGACUCCUACGGGCGGCAGCAGUGGGGAAUAUUGCACGAUGGGCGGAAGCCUGAUGCAGCAACGUCGCGUGCGGGAUGACGGCCUUCGGGUUGGAAACCGCUUUCGCCUGUGACGAAGCGUGAGUGACGGUAAUGGGUAAAGAAGCACCGGCUAACUACGUG
rnacentral:rRNA from 1 species